ACUGUUUUCAACUUAGGACCACCUUGAAUGGAAUGGAUUUUAAGUUUGUUUCUCACGGGCUAUGGUCAGAGAAGCAGAACAUCCUUCUUCAACACAUGCAUAAAAAAGAAUUUUGGAUUUUGACCAAUAAAUGUGGAAAUAAGCUUAAACACGAAAACGAGGCUAAGGGGCCUUACUCCACAUUUAUUGGUCAAAAUCCAAAAUUCUUUUUUAUGCAUGUGUUGAAGAAGGAUGUUCUGCUCCUCUGACCAUAGCCCGUGAGAAACAAACUUAAAA